rnacentral:rRNA from 1 species
CCUCCCUACGGGACGCAGCAGUAGGGAAUCUUCCACAAUGGGCGAAAGCCUGAUGGAGCAACGCCGCGUGGGUGAAGAAGGUCUUCGGAUCGUAAAACCCUGUUGUUAGAGAAGAAAGUGCGUGAGAGUAACUGUUCACGUUUCGACGGUAUCUAACCAGAAAGCCACGGCUAACUACGUGCCAGCAGCCGCGGUAAUACGUAGGUGGCAAGCGUUAUCCGGAUUUAUUGGGCGUAAAGGGAACGCAGGCGGUCUUUUAAGGCUGAUGUGAAAGCCUUCGGCUUAACCGGAGAAGAGCAUUGUAA